CAAGGUUAAAACUCAAAUGAAUUGACGGGGGCCCGCACAAGCGGUGGAGCAUGUGGUUUAAUUCGAUGCAACGCGAAGUAACCUUACCUACCUUUGAAUCCACGGAAUCUUGCAGAAUGUGAGAGUGCCUUCGGGAACCGUGAGACAGGUGCUGCAUGGCUGUCGUCAGCUCGUGUCGUGAGAUGUUGGGUUAAGUCCCGUAACGAGCGCAACCCUUGUCCUUAGUUACCAGCGAGUUAUGUCGGGGACUUUAAGGAGACUGCCGGUGAUAAACCGGAGGAAGGUGGGGAUGACGUCAAGUCCUCAUGGCCCUUACAGGUAGGGCCACACACGUGCUACAAUGGCCGGUACAAAGGGUUGACCAACCCGCGAGGGGAGCUAAUCUCAAAAAGCCGGUCGUAGUCCCGGAUUGGAGUCUGCAACUCGACUCCAUGAAGCUGGAAUCGCUAGUAAUCGCGGAUCAGAACGCCGCGGUGAAUACGUUCCCGGGC
rnacentral:rRNA from 1 species